UUUUGGUAUUUCAAAAAUUAGAAAUCUCAUUCUUGCUAGAAAACCCUUGAGAGAGCGUCUUCCCAACCACAAGUGUCGUCUGAGCAUAACCGGUAGUUGUCAACUUUUCACCUUUCAUCGGAUUCUCGCCGUUAAUCAGAGCCUUAUCCGUCGCCGUCCACCGUUUUGAAGCACCAACAAAGGGCGAAACCACCAUUGGAUGUGGUUUUUGAAGCUUCUCGCUGUUCCUUUUGGUUUUUCUUUGGUGCUGCUCCUGAUUAUCAAGAAACUCCAAAUUCGAAGAUUGAAUUUCUGGGUUGGUAUUUUGUUGAGCUAAGUUUCUUGGAUGAUGAUUGUAUAAGAUUUUUGCCCUCUGUUGUAGCAGCUUCCGCUUUAUUUCUGGCCAGAUUUUUUAUUGAUCCUAAAGUGCAUCCUUAGACUUCUUUCUUGUUUGAAUGUUCGGGUUACAAACCAGUUGAGUUGAAAGAGUGUGUUCUCAUCUUACAUGAUUUGCAUUUGUCAAGAAAGGCAUAAUCAUUCGAAGCUGUUAGGGAGAAAUAAAAGCAGCACAAAGUUAUUAUCUUGGCAUUUCUUUUGUUAUAAUAUAUUUUCAUUCUCUUCAUGGCAAAUCUACCUUCUCCUUCAUAUGUACCAAGUUACUACUCUGAAUAUCAGUUGCAUAUGACUGAUCAGCAAAAGUUAUGUAUGAUUGA